rnacentral:rRNA from 1 species
CGAAGUAAGAAAGGGCGUACGGUGGAUGCCUAGGCUCUCACAGGCGAUGAAGGACGUGAUAAGCUGCGAUAAGCUUCGGGGAGGUGCAAAUGACCUUUGAUCCGGAGAUUUCCGAAUGGGACAACCCGGCAGGCUGAAGGCCUGUCAUCCGAUGCAUAUCGGAGGCAAACGCGGGGAACUGAAACAUCUUAGUACCCGUAGGAAGAGAAAAUAAAAAUGAUUCCCCUAGUAGUGGCGAGCGAACGGGGAAGAGCCCAAACCGCUGCGGUUCCGGCCGCGGCGGGGUUGUAGGACUGCGACAUCGAGAAGAAGAAGUGAGUGGAACGCGCUGGAAAGUGCGGCCAUAGCGGGUGAUAGCCCCUUACACGAAGCCUCUUUCAUCGUAGCAGCAUCCUGAGUAGCGCGGGACACGUGAAAUCCUGUGUGAAUCCGGCGGGCCCAUCCGCCAAGGCUAAAUACUCGUGAGAGACCGAUAGUGAACCAGUACCGUGAGGGAAAGGUGAAAAGCACCGCGCGCAGCGGAGUGAAAUAGUCCCUGAACCCGUACGCCUACAAGCGGUCGGAGCAACAUUAUGUUGUGACGGCGUGCCUUUUGCAUAAUGAACCUACGAGUUGCCGUCGCCGGCGAGGUUAAGCGCAACGAUGCGCGCAGCCGAAGCGAAAGCGAGUCUUAAACGGGCGCAUAGUCCGCGGCGGCAGACGCGAAACCGAGUGAUCUACCCUUGUCCAGGCUGAAGUCCGGGUAACACCGGAUGGAGGGCCGAACCAAUAAGCGUUGAAAAGCUUCUGGAUGAGGUGAGGGUAGGAGUGAAAGGCCAAUCAAACUCGGAGAUAGCUCGUACUCCCCGAAAUGCAUUUAGGUGCAGCCCCCGUUGUUUCCUGCAUGAGGUAGAGCGACUGAUCGGAUGCGAGGGCUUCACCGCCUAUCAAGUCCGGACAAACUCCGAAUGCGUGCAGGUUAGAGACGGGGAGUGAGGGCAUGGGUGCUAAGGUCCGUGCCCGAGAGGAGAAGAAUCCAGACCGUCGGCUAAGGUCCCGAAUUACAGGUUAAGUUAGUCUAACGAAGUGUUGUCCCGAAGACAGCUAGGAUGUUGGCUUGGAAGCAGCCAUUCAUUCAAAGAGUGCGUAACAGCUCACUAGUCGAGGGACGUCGCAUGGAUAAUAAUCGGGUAUGAAAUCUGUAACCGAAGCCGCGGGAUGUCUUAAGACAUCGGUAGGGGAGCAUUCCACCGGCGUUGAAUGUCGAAGAUGACUUCGGCUGGAGCUUGUGGAAAAGCAAAUGUAGGUAUAAGUAACGAUAAAGAGGGUUAGAUGCCCUCUCGCCGAAAGACCAAGGAUUCCCGGGCAACGUUAAUCGCCCCGGGGUUAGUCGGGCCCUAAGGAUAAGCCGAACGGCGAGGCCGAUGGAAGAAACGGUUAAUAUUCCGUUACUGCCUUGCAUGGCGAUGUGGAGACGGAGAAGUGACACUUCCGCGCACUGACGGAAACGUGCGUUGAAGAGUGUAGGCGUAGAUCGUGGUAGGCAAAUCCGCCGCGAGAGCCGAACUUGAUAGUACGCAAAGCCUUCGGGCGGCGCGAUAGCGAAGGUAAGCAUGCUCCCGAGAAAAUCCGCUAAGCUUAACAUGCAAGGCACCCGUACCGUAAACGGACACACGUGGUCGGGUAGAAAAUACUAAGGCGCUUGGAAGAUUCACGGUUAAGGAACUAGGCAAAUUGACCCCGUACCUUCGGAAUAAGGGGUCCUCACAGCGAUGUGAGGCGCAGAGAAUAGGUCCAGGCAACUGUUUAACAAAAACACAGGGCUGUGCAAAUUCGAAAGAUGAAGUAUACAGCCUGACACCUGCCCGGUGCUGGAAGGUUAAGAGGAGAUGUCAUCGCAAGAGAAGCAUUGAAUUGAAGCCCCAGUAAACGGCGGCCGUAACUAUAACGGUCCUAAGGUAGCGAAAUUCCUUGUC